rnacentral:pre_miRNA from 1 species
CAACUACUCCCUUUGUCUCAAAUUUCUUGUCUUAGAUUUGUCUAGAUAUGGAUGUAUCUAAUACUAAAAUGUGACUUGAUACAUCCGUAUCUAGAAAAAUCUAAGACAAGAAUUUUGGGACGGAGGGAGUACUUU